rnacentral:piRNA from 1 species
UUGCCUGAUACUGGAGAAUUCUUACAGUGU